UUGGGUUGUGGUGAUUGGGGCUGUGUGUCCUCGGAAUUUGAGCAAUUACCUCAAUUACGUCCGGUUUCUAGUGUGUUUUACUGGAAGUUGAGCAUCUCCCAGAGAUAGCCCUGUGUGGUGAAAGCCUCUGAGCAUGAGAAGGUACAAUUGUUAGAACCAGCUGAGCGGAAUGACUUCUGUGCGACACUCCUCCCUAAGAAACAAAAAACUAUAAAAAAUGGACCAUUAAGCCUUCAUGUAGUAAAUGUGAAUACACAAGUGAAGUGUAUUUGACUGCAUUGUGGCAAUGCCUAGUAAUGUUUAUGUAGAUAAAAAAUAAAGAUUUAUGUUUCUGUUCUCAGAAUUUCUGUGUUUCCCAAGCUUUAGUACGAGUUGCUUCUAUUUUACUUCCUCUGUGUUACUGUUGGGAUACCAAUGCACCCCUYUGUAUGAAACAAAUCCUAGGAUUUGCUAAGUGUUUGGGAUAUGAUGACUUAAACCAUGGCCGGCCACCUGUAGUAUUUAGAGAUAGGGCUGGCUGAGAUUUGUAUGGUGGUGAGCAAAAGUAGAAAAUUAAAAAGUAGAAAUACAGCAAAUCUGGGUUUAAAAAUAGCAGGAAAGGUGUUUUUCUAACAUGGAGAACAGCAAGCUUGUUUUAUGAUUAUCACCUUGACCAGCUACAUCAUAUAGUACUUUAACUUGACUUGGAGUGCAAUACUCUUGAUAAUUGGAAUUGCUGCUUAUUUUUUCAGGAACWCUUAACAUACAAAAUUUCAGCCUUUGGUCUUCUGAUAAAAUURAUUUAUCUUGCAAUGUCUGAUUUUUUCAGUACUGAAUAUAAGUAUGCUACUUACACAAAUUCUAAGUGUAAGGUUGUUUUUGGUUUGUCAAGAGGAAUAGGAGGUUUAGACAARACUAAUUAAUUUUUAGUGAUCCAGCAUGUAAUUAUUGGAUGCACUUGAAAGUUUAGGGGUUUUUUUAGGGAUUACAUUCCCUGACGAUACCAUCUGUUGAGGARUUUUGCUCAUAGGCAUUUGUUCUCGGAAGUGUAAGAACAAUAGGAGUAGCUUUUUUAAAUUUAGCCAGAUUUGGAUGGGUAUCUAAAAUGUUAAUUAUCUUUCAACUGAAAAAAAUGUAGAACCCCAAGCUUUAAUGUGUAAUACAGGUUUUAUGGUACAGGGGAAAAGUGGGAUAGAGAGAGGAAUAGGUGGAUGCAAAGGUCACAGAUUUCUUAAAUAAUAAUGCUGGUAAAUGUGAAGUAUGGUGUUAAACAUUAGGACUGCCUUUUAUUUUGUGUGACUGGCUAACUGAAUUGUACCCUUGAAAAAAACAUCAGACCGUAAGAUUAUGCUCAACAAUAAAAAUGGGAGAGAAAGGAAUAAGGA